rnacentral:misc_RNA from 1 species
UGGUUCUGGCAUCGAUGAAGAACGCAGCGAAAUGCGAUAAGUAAUGUGAAUUGCAGAAUUCAGUGAAUCAUCGAAUCUUUGAACGCACAUUGCGCCCGCCGGCAUCCCGGCGGGCAUGCCUGUUCGAGCGUCAUUUCAACCCUCAGGCCCCGCCUGGCGUUGGGGCUCCUGCGCGCCGCAGGCCCUCAAAGACAGCGGCGGGUGCGUCCCGGAACCGAACGCAGUAGCUACCCUCUCGUUCGGCGCCCCCCGGAGCGCACGCCGGCCGUAAAACCCCCUCACCUCCAUCUCGCGUGGUUGACCUCGGAUCAGGUAGGAAUACCCGCUGA